UACGAAGGGGGCUAGCGUUGUUCGGAAUUACUGGGCGUAAAGCGCGCGCAGGCGGUCUUCCAAGUCAGUGGUGAAAGCCCGGAGCUCAACUCCGGAACUGCCAUUGAAACUGUUAGACUUGAGGAUGAGAGAGGUGAGUGGAAUUCCCAGUGUAGAGGUGAAAUUCGUAGAUAUUGGGAAGAACACCGGUGGCGAAGGCGGCUCACUGGCUCAUUACUGACGCUUAGGCGCGAUAGCGUGGGGAUCAAACAGG
rnacentral:rRNA from 1 species